UUUUAGCCCCGAUGGAAGCGGCAUCCCCUGAUGAUAUAUAUCAUACCGAAAAACAAAAAUCUCCAACAUCGGGGAUAUAGCGGACAGCGGGACGAUUU
rfam:Chryseobacterium solincola strain DSM 22468 contig03, whole genome shotgun sequence.